rnacentral:rRNA from 1 species
GAUGAACGCUGGCGGCGUGCCUAAUACAUGCAAGUCGAGCGAACAGACGAGGAGCUUGCUCCUCUGACGUUAGCGGCGGACGGGUGAGUAACACGUGGAUAACCUACCUAUAAGACUGGGAUAACUUCGGGAAACCGGAGCUAAUACCGGAUAAUAUAUUGAACCGCAUGGUUCAAUAGUGAAAGACGGUUUUGCUGUCACUUAUCGAUGGAUCCGCGCCGCAUUAGCUAGUUGGUAAGGUAACGGCUUACCAAGGCAACGAUGCGUAGCCGACCUGAGAGGGUGAUCGGCCGCACUGGAACUGAGACACGGUCCAGACUCCUACGGGAGGCAGCAGUAGGGAAUCUUCCGCAAUGGGCGAAAGCUUGACGGAGCAACGCCACGUGAGUGAUGAAGAUCUUCGGAUCGUAAAACUCUGUUAUUAGGGAAGAACAAAUGUGUAAGUAACUAUGCACGUCUUGACGGUACCUAAUCAGAAAGCCACGGCUAACUACGUG